UUCCUCCGAGAAAUAGCCAUGCUAUGAGAUAUACUUCUUCCAUCUAAAUUACUCCCAUUUCCUUUUGUACCUCGAGGUACCGGUACCUCGAGGUACAAAAUCGUUUUUCACCAUUGGAUCUAGAUAAGAAGGAUGUGGACUGUUGGAUCCAAUGAUCAGAAACGAUUUGGUACCGCGAGGGACCGGUACCUCGCGGUACCAAAUCGUUUUUCACCAUUGGAUCUAGAUAAGAAGGAUGUGGACUGUUGGAUCCAAUGAUCAGAACCGAUUGGGUCCCGCGAGGUACCGGUACCUCGAGGUACAAAAGGAAUGAUGGAAGUAAAACUCAAAAAACUAACUUUUGGAUAUGAACCUGGAUAUACGUAUGUUUAUAUUCAUAGCCAGAAAAGUUGUUUUCCAGGGGGAUUAUGCAAAUAAAAAUGCUGCUAUGAAAUAAC
rnacentral:lncRNA from 1 species